UACCAUCCUCUUCGUCCUCCUCCUCCUCCUCCUCCUCUUCCUCUUCCUCCUCCUCAUUUUCUUGUUCUUUGUCUUCCUCGACGAUUUUUUUGCAUCUCCUUGUUCUUGUUCUUAUUGUUCAUGUCCUCCUCCUCCUCCUCCUCCUCCCCUCUUUUAAUCUUCCCCUGCAUCCACCCCUUCCAUAACACCGCUCCCCAUGCUAGCUUCUAAUCAGGUUACUGGUCACUACAAGUCUAAUUAAUCACCCCUCCUGCCACGCUGAGCACACACAAAAAAAGUAGUGGGAGAAAUCGUCCACGUGUUAGCUAUGCAGUAUGUUUUGUUUCUUGUUGUUCCUGUUUUGUUCCUGUUGUAUUUCUUGUUCUUGGUUUUGCUGUUACUUGUUUUGUGUUUCUUGUUGUUCCUGGUUGUUGUUCCUUGUUCUUUCUUGUUUCUUAUUCUUGUUUCGUUCCUGUUUGUGUGUUUCUUGAGAUCGUUCUUGGCGUGUUUCUACCGAGUGUUGCGUUGUGCCGUGUGUGUGUGUUGUGAGGUAACACGUGUGAUUGGGGGAAGGGAGGGGAGGUUCAAACUAGCAAUUAUAUAGAUAGUUAAUUUAUUUUUUUAUAGGGGAGAGGUUGAAUUGGGGGAAACGUCGAGUGAAUUAAGGUAAGCCGUAAGGAAAGUGACACCAGUGAAUUUCAGGUUAAUGACAUGAAUGGCCAGGUAGGGAGGCAGUGAGAGGGGAACGUGGAAUAAAAUAAAGCGACUCAACAGGGGAAUGUAGAAUGAAAUGAGAUACUACGAUACAAAGGUGAAAAGAUUAGGUAAGAUAUAUGGGUGAAAAAAAAAAGUGAAAGGCAAAGGUUAGGCUAGAUAAGUGGAUUCCAUUUCCGUAAAAGGGAGAAGAUUGAAGCCAUAAGGAGAAUACGAAAAGGUCGCUGAGAAAAUAUAUUAGAAAAAGAGGAAAAAUGUGGUACUAGAUUAAGAAAGGGCAUAGGUAAAUAAUGAGGUUAAUGGGAAGGAAGGAAGGACUAAGUUAUGGAAGGAGGUUAGAUUAGGUUACUAGAUUAAGAAAGGGCAUAAGUAAAUGAUGAGGUUAAUGAAGAGGAAGGGAGGACUAAGUUAUGGAAGGAGGUUAGAUUAGGUUACUAGAUUAAGGAAAGAUAGGGCGUAAGUAAAUGAUGAGGUUAAUGGGAAGGAAGGAAGGAGUAAGUUAUGGAAGGAGGUUAGAUUAAGUUACUAGAUAAAGGAAAGGUAGGGCAUAGGUAAAUGAUGAGGUUAAUUAAGGAGAAGGAAGGGAGGAGAUAGCUGAUAAGGAAGAAGGUCAGGGAACUAGAUAUACUGACCAAAAAGGAAGGUUACCAAGUUAUAUGCAAGACAAAAAAAAGAUGUGUUGCUAGAGGGAGAUUAAGGAAAGGUAAGUCAUAGGUAUAUAAUGAUGUUAAUUAAGGAGAAGGAAAGGAGGAGGUAGAUGAUAUGAAAGAAGGUCAGGCGGUUAGAUAUACAGACCAAAAAGGAAGGUCACCAAGUUACAUGCAAGACAAAAAAAGAAAGAUGUGUUGCCAGAGGGAGAAAGGGAGAGUAAGAAGGUAAUUAAUUAAGGUAUAUAAGGAGGGAGGCGAGUGUUACGGCAUGGGAGGAGGCCAAGGAGGUAGAUAUAUGUGCUAAUGAGGUCACCAGUUACAAAUUACAAAAGAUAAGAGGAAGGAGAUGAAGGACUAUUUAUGAGGAUGGUUAGUCAUGUAGAUAUAUUAGAAAAGGAGGUCACCAAGUUGAAGAUUAGAAAUAAAGUAAGGGGAAGGGAGUCAGAAGUUAGAUUUGAGGAUGGCUAGGCAGCAGAAAGAAGUUACCAGUUGAUAAUGCAAAAGUAAAGGGAAGGGAAUGAAGAGUUGGAUAGGAGAGUUAGGCAGGGAAGUAUACUAGCAAAAAGAGGUCACCAAGUUGAAGGUUAAAAAUGAAGUAAGGGAAAGGGAGUCAGAAGUUAGAUUUGAGUAUGGCUAGGCAGCAGAAAUAAGUUACCAGUUUAUAAUGCAAAAGUAAAGGGAAGAGAAUGAAGAGUUAGGCAGGGAAGUAUACUAGCAAAAAGAGGUUACCAAGUCAUAAUAUAAAAAAAUAAUAAAGGGGGAAUGGGGUGAAGGAUUAUAGAUAGAAAUGGUUAGUCAGGUAAAUAUAUUCGGUAAGGAGUUAUGUUAUGAAUUAUGUUAAGUUAGAUUAGAAGUUAGGUAUGUGAAAGCCCAGUUAGGUUAGGUUAGGUUUAAUUAGGUUAUUAGUGCGGUAUGCGGAAAGCCAGACAGAAUUAAAUAUCAGCAAAAGGGAGGGUAAGAAAAUGGAAAAGGCAAGGGAAGGUUAGUUAAGUAAUAAGACGAAGUUGAGCCCAGUAUGUGAAAGCCCAGUUAGGUUAGGUUAGGUUAGGUUUAGUUAGGUCAUUAGUGCGGUAUGCGGAGAGCCAGACAAUUAAAUAUAAGCAAAAGGGAGGGUAAGAAAAUGGAAAAGGCAAGGGAAGGUUAGUUAAGUAAUAAGACGAAGUUGAGCCCAGUAUGUGAAAGCCCAGUUAGGUUAGAUUUACUUAGGUCAUUAGUUCGGUAUGCAGAGAGCCAGACAGAAUUAAAUAUACGCAAAAGGGAAGGUUAGGAAAGGGAAAAGGCAAGGGUAAGUUAGUUAAGCAAUAAGGCGAAGGUGAGCCCAGUUCCCAGGUAAAAAAAAGGUACGCUGAGGAAGGGUCAGAUGCUUGGUAAAUUGGGCAGGUUAGUUAUUAAGUAAGGGAGGGAAGGCGGGCUGUCAGGUGAGGGAGGGACGGGCUGUUGUUAGGCCAAGAUGCGGUAGAUAAUACGUUGGGCUGGUGUUUAUUUUUUGUUGUAUUAAUUUAUUUGGCCUUCCUUAGUUACUUCAUUCUUUCUCCCGGCCUUUCUUACUUUACCUGCCUUACCAUUCUUAUAUCUAAUUCUUCACCCAUUCCCGCUUCAUUAUUUUUUUUAUUAUAACUCUGUAACCUCUUUUUGCUCUUAUAUUUCCCCGCCUAACUCUCCUAUCCAACCCUUCUACUAUUUAUCAGCCAAUUAUCCAACUCUCUUGAUCUUUGCUGUUUUUUCUCUUCCUCUCAUCCAGUUCAUCCAUUUCCCUUCCGUCUGCUUCUCCUUCCUUCCCUUUCCUUCCCUCUCUCCCUCUUCCAUCAUUUCCUCCUCCUCCUCCUCCUCUCCCUCUCUCAUUAUCUCAACCUUUCCUCUCCUCCCUCUCUCUCUCUUCAUUUACUUCCUUCUUCUCCUCCUCCUCCUCCUCCAUCUCUCAUUACCUCCUCCUUCCCUCUCCCUCACCUUCCUCUCACACUCUUUCCUCCUUCCUCCACCUCUUCUCUCUUCUGUGAAAUUACAUGAUAGUUCCGGGAAGGUAAGUGGAGGAAGGGGGGAGAGGAGGAGGAGAGAGGGAGGAGUGAGAGAGAUGAGUGAGGAGAGGGACAGGGAGAUAUUCAGUAAGGCGAGAAAGAGGAGGAGGAGGAGGAGGAGGAAAAGGAGGAGGUCGUUAUGGUGGUGGAGGAGGAGGAAUAAGAAUAAGGAGGAGGUGGAUUAGGAGGAAGAGGAGGAGGAGGAGGAGGAGGAGGAAGAAGAAGAAGAAGAAGAAG